CUGUCCUCAGCACCCGAAUCAUUCCUAUCUGAAUCUCCAUCCGCCGCAUUUGAAUCAGAGUACGGAGGUGCGGCAGGUGGUAUCGUAAUCGUAUAAGAAAAUCAAGGUUUCAUUUCACAUUCAUCCCCCUCUCUUUUCUUUUGAAUGGACAGAUAAUAAGUUAUUAAGGCAAGGAAGUCACUUCUUGCACAGAUUACCCGCUACGCUCUUUGCUUUAUGGCUUACAGGAGUACUUGACUAGCCUGCUUGACUGAUCUUACAGUUCUCGACUCAGCAGGGGGUAAUUAUGCUUAACACAGGGAGUUCGGACUUUGCAAACAUUCAACUGAAAGAAGGGAUUGGGAGAGGGGAUAAAGGGAUUAGGCGAAGGGGAAGUUAUUGCUAACGAUGGUAUUCAUAUCGCUGAGUUGGAACACGAAGCAAGCUUUUGGAUUAAGUGAAGGCGUGAGGUAUCGAACACAAGCUAAGGGUUAGUAAAGUGGCUCAGGUAUAGAAAGUUACCUACUACAAAGAGUACCAUAGCAAUGAAGAGAUAGAGAUCGUCUAUGGAUAAGGUUGAGCUAAGCGAGGUAGAGUAGACUUUACAGACUCUGGAUGAUCCUAUGCUUAAUACACUCUCCAAUUCAAGUGAGAUGCCGAAGGCAAAGUACUUUAAGAAGGGAAGAGCUUGGCCUAGAAUGAGCAAGGGAUAGAGAUGAUGGUAUGAAUGCAUUCAUCAACAGAAGUUUCAUCCUCGGAUUCCCACCUACCCACUCGCCUCCAAGACUUUCUUACCUCUCCUAGAAUGGAGGUAGAGCGAGAUUCAGUCUUCGAGAAGCCCUUAUGAUGAUGGGCGUGAUCCAUAGCCGAUGUUGGCUAUAAGCAGUAUCAGUUGAAGCUAUGGAGCACCCCUUCCAGUUUCAGAUCGAUAUUGAGUUCCAUAUCCUGUUACAGAUAUUCCAGAUGUAGAGACAGAUCCAAAGCCAUUUGAUCGAGAUCGAGUAGCUAUAGCAGAUCCAUUUAGAGAUCGGAACCCGGGUACACCCAUUUUAGUAGAAACUGCCCCUAAGCCGGUAGGUCUCGUUCAAAAGCCACUUUAGUUGAUGUGUCCCAAUCCAUGUGCUCGGUAAUGAUGUUGUCAUCGCUGAUGCGCAAGUUGCUGAAGUUUAUUUUAAGUGUCUUCAGAAAUUAGGAGUUCAAAACUUAAAAAUAUCUUAUUUCUUACACAGGUGCAUUUGAGUUUGCUAAGCGCUUUUGUUUGCGUCAAGGGUGGAUUUUUCUGCCAUGUCUGCUCGUUGUUUGCUUGCUUACCAUCAUCCAUAUGGUCUGAUGGCUAUAUGUAAAUAAUUUCCAUUCAUUACGAAGGUUCUCUACCUUAGUAAGGAUAGGUGGUGGAGUGGGUCCUUGCCAAACUCAGUCAUACAAGAUCUCGUCACUUUGAGCGGGUUCUUGCUAUGUACACCAAGCCUCGGGUCGGGGUCACAAUGACUAUCCAUUAGAAUUGUGGCUUGGCAGAGUGAGCUCAUUCGCUUUGGUCUUCUCUGGAAGAUCUAUGAUUUGGUAGCAGAGAAGGGUGUAGCUUGGAGCCGCCAUGUCAUCAAGAAAACCUCCCUGGAGCUUGGUCAUCCCAGAUGAGCUGAGCUACGAAGUUUGGCAUUCGUGAGGACGCAGCCGUGUCAGAAAGGGCAUUCUCGCUUAUCUGUAUAUGAGAAUUGGGUCACCGCGGCAGAGCUUCAAUCGAAAUAGUGAUUCUUUGGCCAGGUUUGCUUAUCCAACCCUCGAGUUUAAGGCAUCUCAUUAGGUCCCGAAGAGACCAGACCUUGGGAAGGCAUCACUUAUGCUAGAAGGCUUCACAGCCCUCCUUACUAGCAGCCCAGAUCUGUUUUGUGCUCGGCUUGAUGCCAUCUCAGAUGUCCAUUCAAGUAGCCUGCCUACCCUAUUUUAUC
rnacentral:lncRNA from 1 species